rnacentral:rRNA from 1 species
AGUGAACGCUGGCGGUAGGCCUAACACAUGCAAGUCGAACGGCAGCACAGUAAGAGCUUGCUCUUACGGGUGGCGAGUGGCGGACGGGUGAGGAAUACAUCGGAAUCUACUUUUUCGUGGGGGAUAACGUAGGGAAACUUACGCUAAUACCGCAUACGACCUACGGGGGAAAGCAGGGGAUCUUCGGACCUUGCGCGAUUGAAUGAGCCGAUGUCGGAUUAGCUAGUUGGCGGGGUAAAGGCCCACCAAGGCGACGAUCCGUAGCUGGUCUGAGAGGAUGAUCAGCCACACUGGAACUGAGACACGGUCCAGACUCCUACGGGAGGCAGCAGUGGGGAAUAUUGGACAAUGGGCGCAAGCCUGAUCCAGCCAUACCGCGUGGGUGAAGAAGGCCUUCGGGUUGUAAAGCCCUUUUGUUGGGAAAGAACAGCAGCAGGUUAAUACCCCGCUGUUCUGACGGUACCCAAAGAAUAAGCACCGGCUAACUUCGUG